rnacentral:rRNA from 1 species
UACGAAGGGGGCGAGCGUUGUUCGGAAUUACUGGGCGUAAAGGGCGCGUAGGCGGCGACCCAAGUCAGAUGUGAAAGUCCUGGGCUUAACCUGGGGACUGCAUUUGAUACUGGGUUGCUUGAAUUCGGGAGAGGAUAGCGGAAUUCUCAGUGUAGAGGUGAAAUUCGUAGAUAUUCGGAAGAACACCAGUGGCGAAGGCGGCUCACUGGACUGGUAUUGACGCUGAGGUGCGAAAGCGUGGGGAGCAAACAGG